GACAGAGGGUGCAAACGUUGCUCGGAAUCACUGGGCGUAAAGGGCGUGUAGGCGGGACAGUAAGUCGGGCGUGAAAUCCCUGGGCUCAACCCAGGAACUGCACUCGAAACUACUAUUCUUGAGUGUCGGAGAGGAAAGCGGAAUUCCUGGUGUAGAGGUGAAAUUCGUAGAUAUCAGGAGGAACACCAGUGGCGAAGGCGGCUUUCUGGACGAUAACUG
rnacentral:rRNA from 1 species